rfam:Gracilibacillus kekensis strain CGMCC 1.10681 genome assembly, contig: Ga0079828_103
AGAAUAAGUAAAUGGGAUGGUGCAGUAUUCUAGUCAAUCCUCCGUUUCUGAAGGCGGGCCUAAAAAUCCGCCAAAGGGCACAUCGAUGAAGUUCCUUGUGUUGGCUUGAGGCGCCCAGCCUUGGGUCGAUGCUGGGAGUUAAGGUUGAAGGGCGAUCCACAAAGGCAUGUGGGCGUAGACCCUUUUUCCGCGGAGGCCCAUCUCUGUAUUCAAUGCUUAGCCAAGGAUUGAGUAUGGAAUGGGGUAUGAACCUACGUAAUAAGAAUCGGGUAUUCUUAUUCGUAGCGUAGCCUGCCUUGAGUGGUACGAAGGGGAUUAUAGGUAACAGAGUGUUCGAACUUGAUGGCCACUUGCUCGGACAUGUUUUUCUAUAUGAAAUUCGUACUGCAAAAGAGGCUAGGAAACGGUCAAAGGUUGUUGAGGAAAUCUCCUAGGCUGUUCCAUGCGACAUUUAAAAGGGAUUAUAGUGUGGACUGAGUGGUAAUCCAGUCUAGCGACGGGUGACUACGCUAAGUCAGAUUUAAAGGGGAACCGCCAGAAUGGCAACAUUCGGUAUCUGACUGGGAAAACCUACUGGACCUAAGCCGCAGUUUUUACCUUUUAAAUGACCAUUCCAUUCAUUAUACAU